rnacentral:lncRNA from 1 species
UGCAGGUCCAUCUGGAACAUGAAUGGCUAUGAUUUACUUCAGGAAACACCAGGUGAAUCCAGCUUCCACUAUUAACGUUGGAAGCCAAAUGGGAAGAUCACAAAUGGCGACCACAGGGCCAGUGGGAUCAGUGAUGGGAUUCAAAAAAUUUUACUACCGGUUUUGUGGGCUUGGCUUGCUCCGUUCUCCUAUGCAGGGCAACAAAAGAAGACCCAGCCAAUCAGUUGGGACUUGGGAGGCAGAGAAUAAGUGGUAUUCCGAACUACUCAAAAUUUCCAUUUCCAGUUCUCCAAAUUACUCAAAAUUUCUGCUAUCGGUUCUCCAGAACUGGCCAGAACCUGCUGAAUACCGCCUUUGCAUAGGAUGCUGCAACAUUGAAAA